AGAAGUUGUCCACGCGAUGCGUG
rnacentral:siRNA from 1 species